rnacentral:rRNA from 1 species
AUGGCAUUGUCAUUACUCCGAGCGCGUACGCACGCAAACUCCUGGAGGCAUGGCUGCUGCAAACCCUGUCACACCCACAUGGAGCCCCGUUUCAAGCUAUCAAAGGAGAGCACGACGCCACCAGUGGACACAACGAAGUACCGCGGCGUCGUUGGCAGCCUGCGCUACCUGGUGCACACGUGCCCUGACCUGACCUUCUCGGUCAGGUAUGUUUCACAUUUCAUGGAGGCGCCAACUGAAGAGCACAGCACCACUGUCAAGAACAUUUUGAGGUACAUCGUCGACACUCUGCAUCUAGGCUGCAAGUACGGCAGAGGAGAUGGUGAGCCUGAACUCACCGGGUACAGCAACAGUGACCUAGGCGGUGACGUGGACACACGCAAGAGCACCUCCGGCACCCUAUUCUUGCUCGGAGGAGGGGUGAUAACCUGGCAGUCACAGAAGCAGAAGAUUGUGGCACUCUCCAGCUGUGAAUCAGAAUACGUCGCGGCAACAACAGCGGCUUGCCAAGGAAUCUGGCUCGCGCUCCUGCUCGGCGAGUUCAGAGAAGAGGAAGAAAAGGCAGUAGGACUCAAGGUCGACAAUAAAUCCAUGAUUUCUCUUGCAAAGAAUCAUGUGAUGCACGACGGAUCGAAGCACAUUGAGCUCAGGUAA